UACGUAGGGGGCAAGCGUUGUCCGGAAUCAUUGGGCGUAAAGCGCGUGUAGGCGGUUCAGUAAGUCUGCUGUGAAAGUCCAGGGCUCAACCCUGGGAUGCCGGUGGAUACUGCUGGGCUAGAGUACGGAAGAGGCGAGUGGAGUUCCCGGUGUAGCGGUGAAAUGCGCAGAUAUCGGGAGGAACACCUAUUGCGAAGGCAGCUCGCUGGGACGUUACUGACGCUGAGACGCGAAAGCGUGGGGAGCAAACAGG
rnacentral:rRNA from 1 species